rnacentral:rRNA from 1 species
UACGGGGGGGCAAGCGUUGUUCGGAAUUACUGGGCGUAAAGGGCUCGUAGGCGGCCAACUAAGUCAGACGUGAAAUCCCCUCGGCUUAACCGGGGAACUGCGUCUGAUACUGGAUGGCUUGAGGUUGGGAGAGGGAUGCGGAAUUCCAGGUGUAGCGGUGAAAUGCGUAGAUAUCUGGAGGAACACCGGUGGCGAAGGCGGCAUCCUGGACCAAUUCUGACGCUGAGGAGCGAAAGCCAGGGGAGCAAACGGGG